rnacentral:rRNA from 1 species
UACAGAGGGGGCAAGCGUUGUUCGGAAUUACUGGGCGUAAAGGGCGCGUAGGCGGCCUGCUAAGUCGAACGUGAAAUCCCCGAGCUCAACUCGGGAACUGCGUCCGAUACUGGCAGGCUUGAAUCCGGGAGAGGGAUGCGGAAUUCCAGGUGUAGCGGUGAAAUGCGUAGAUAUCUGGAGGAACACCGGUGGCGAAGGCGGCAUCCUGGACCGGUAUUGACGCUGAGGCGCGAAAGCGUGGGGAGCGAACAGG